rnacentral:piRNA from 1 species
UAGUCAUUCAAGUCUACUGUCUGGGUC